CCUACGGGGGGCAGCAGUGAGGAAUAUUGGACAAUGGGCGAAAGCCUGACGCAGCGACGCCGCGUGAGGGAUGAAGGUCUUCGGAUCGUAAACCUCUGUCAGCAGGGAAGAACGGUCACUGUGCUAAUCAGCAGCGAAUUGACGGUACCUGCAAAGGAAGCACUGGCUAACUCUGUGCCAGCAGCCGCGGUAAUACGGAGGUUGCGAGCGUUAAUCGGAAUUACUGGGCGUAAAGCGCUCGUAGGCGGUAUGUCAAGUCAAGGGUGAAAUCCCCGGGCUCAACGUGGGAACUGCCUUUGAUACUAGCAAACUAGAGUGAGUGAGAGGAUAGUGGAAUUCCAGGUGAAGGGGUGAAAUGCGUAGAUAUAUGGAAGAACAUCAGAGGCGAAGGCGACUAUCUGGCACAAAACUGACGCUGAGGGGCGAAAGCGUGGGUAGCAAACAGGAUUAGAUACCCUAGUAGUC
rnacentral:rRNA from 1 species